CCCGCGGGCAGCGCUCGGCGGAGCGACGCCGGGCCGCCCCCUCCACCUCCUCCUCCUCCUCCUCCCCCCGUUCGCGGGUCGCGGAGGGAAGCGCGGCGCGAGGGGAGGAAGGGAGGGGAAAGGGGCCGAGCCGCUCCCCGCGCUGCGCCACAACCCGCCCGCCGCCGCUGCCGCCGCCGCCGCCGCCGCCGCGCCCCGAGCCCGUGAGCGCGCCCGGCCCGCCCCGCGCCGGGUCCGGAGCGAGGGGCGGGAGCGGCAGCGCCCGGCGGAGCGCGGGAUGAGGAGACAGAAACAUCUUGUCUGAUGAAAAGCACGUUUUGCAAGGCUUGACAAAUACCAUGUUCACCUCGAGCCAAUGUGGUCUGUGUGAUUUUAAUGCUGGAACACACUGAAGUGUGUACAGUAUCUUCUAUCUGUGUUUCUUUGUGUGCUACAUGAGCUAAAUCCUGAAUAAUCCCGUGGAACAAGGGAACGGCUUCAUCUCCCUGUCACAGAUCAGAGGUGGAGACUCCUAAUGCAGAAGCUUUGAUUAAGGAACACAACUAAGAUGAAGCCUGACUGUGGCAGAUGUCAGACACCCCCAGGAGAAACGAUGCCUGCAAAGUGUUCGACCCAGAGGGAAGCAAACAUAUAAUUAAAAUGCCUGGCUGUAAUUUCGGUUCUGGUUGAAUUCAGCUGGUGACCCACGGCUAGAAGGCUCUGAGGGCUCAUCACCAGGUGACCUACAAGUGACAUAUCCAGUUCUACCUAACUGCAAAUGCUACACCUUUGCAAGGCAACCUGCUCUCUCUUUUUUUUUUUUUUUUUUUCUUUUGGGAAACAACUAAAUGAUUCUAAGGUGCUCCUCAAUCUCUUAGAGCUGGAAGGGAGCAGGAAUCAGCUGGCAGAAGCAUUUGUAACAAAGCUCUCUCUCAAACCCAAAGUCAAACCCAAGUGACUGCAGGUUAAGUUUUUUAGCCCAAAUAAUUUGUCCUAGACCAGAUCAGAUCCUUCAAACUCCAGAAGCAAUAGCACAGAGCCCAAACCCAACCAUUUAGGAGGCAACAGCAGCUUCAAGCAGUGCAACUGCUUGUCUAUCUACAGCCUUAGAACAUAUUAAUGCUGCAGAGAAGUGGUGGAUGCUCCAUCCCUGGAAACAUUCAAGGUCAGGUUGGAUGGGGCUCUGAGCAACCUGAUCUAGUUGAAGAUGGGGUUAGACUAGGCGACUUUUAAAGGUCUCUUCAAGCCCAAACCAUUCCAUGAUUCUACAACCUUUUGAUGUUGGUGAGCGAUGAGAGGUGGGACAUGUCAACAGUAGCAGGGCUUCACUUUUGAUUGUUCUGCUGUUUCACUUGAGCACAAGAGUGGAACAGGAUAAAAGGUGGCUUUGGCCUUAUCUGGUUACCCAUUGUGAGCACUCUGUUCUCCAGUAUCCUGCUGCAGCGUUCCUGCCAACACGGCUGUAGAGGCUUGGUUUCCAUUUCAGUUUCACUGGUUGUCAGAGAGUUUAUCUGUGAAACAGAUAUAACAACAGCUAAUCUCAUGUUAUGGUUCCAUAGCUCUUUAUAACUCCUAUUAAUAGCAACCUUGGAAAGCCUGAGAGUGGAGUUUAUAAGGCACUGGGGUAACCAGUUACUGCACAUUCCCCUGAGGCGACGUAGCAUCAAGAGUAGCAGCCUGUCCUUUCCAGACUAGGUCAUGAUCAUCUUAACUCUGGCUUUCCCUAUCUUUUGGGGAUUUGACUUCAUCCAUGCUCUUGUUAAUUCUUUCUGAGACAUGAUUUGGAAGCAAUUGAUUUUGCUCUAUGAUUUAUGCUUACAAAGAUUCUGACUGAUUUGUAAGAGGCUCCAUAAUUAAGCUCUACCUUGUACACCAGCUCCUGUGAGGAUUUCACAGGACUUGAAAGGGAUUUGGCUGGACUGUCAUUGGAGGGAAAUAAAAUGAGUCCUUGAUGCUUUUAUAAAUCUUAGAGGUUCAUAUUUUUAAGUUCUUCUAAAUAUUCAGCAUUCUCAUUCCAACUGCUGGCACCCAUUUUUAAAAGUGUGUGUUUUGUGCCCCAAAUGUGGGAAAUGUUUGUGUAAUGCCUGAUUCAGUGAGGCACUGACCAUUGUCUCAAAUAAAACAGGGCAACAAACACCUUCUUACUGAUAGGCACAUGAUGAGGUUGCUGAAUUAAUAAGAGCAAUGGUCGAUACAGUGACACAGUUGUGGUUUCUCAUGAGGCACAGCAAACUUGGGAAGGUAUU